GCCAGUGUGGUGUAGUGCUUUGAGUGUUGGACUAUGACUCUGGAGACCAAGGUUCAAUUCCCAGCUUAGUCA
rnacentral:tRNA from 1 species